GGGCGGAUGGCACAGUGGUAGCGCGCUUGCUUCGCAAUCUCAUGACCUUGUCAUGAGUACGCUGCAUGAGGUCGUGGGUUCAAACCCCACUUCGUCCA